UACAGAGGUCUCGAGCGUUGUUCGGAUUCAUUGGGCGUAAAGGGCGCGUAGGCGGCCGUGCAAGUGGAAGGUGAAAUCCCUCGGCUCAACCGAGGAACUGCCUUUCAAACUGCAUGGCUUGAGUCCGGGAGAGGUGAGUGGAAUUCCCAGUGUAGCGGUGAAAUGCGUAGAUAUUGGGAGGAACACCAGUGGCGAAGGCGGCUCACUGGACCGGAACUGACGCUGAGGCGCGAAAGCGUGGGGAGCAAACGGG
rnacentral:rRNA from 1 species